UAAGGAAUAUUGCACAAUGGGGGAAACCCUGAUGCAGCAACGCCGCGUGAGUGAUGAAGGCCUUCGGGUUGUAAAACUCUUUUCUGAGGGAUGAGGAAGGACAGUACCUUAGGAAUAAGUCUCGGCUAACUACGUGCCAGCAGCCGCGGUAAAACGUAGGAGGCGAGCGUUAUCCGGAUUUACUGGGCGUAAAGGGCAAGUAGGCGGUGGUCAAAGUUGGGCGUGACAGAUCCUGGCUUAACUGGGAGAGGUCGUUCAAAACUAGAUCACUAGAGGGCAGGAGAGGGGAGCGGAAUUCCUAGUGUAGCGGUGGAAUGCUCAGAUAUUAGGAAGAACACCAGUGGCGAAAGCGGCUUUCUGGCCUGCACCUGACGCUAAGGGGCGAAAGCUAGGGGAGCGAACGG
rnacentral:rRNA from 1 species